rnacentral:rRNA from 1 species
GUUUGAUCCUGGCUCAGGACGAACGCUGGCGGCGUGGAUUAGGCAUGCAAGUUGAGCGACGGAUAGUCUUCGGACUAUUACGGAGCAGCGAACGGGUGAGUAACACGUGAACAAUCUGUCCCUUCAUUCCGGAUAAUUGGGAGAAAUCCCUUGUAAUACGGGCGAGGGUCCUCGGGGUGCAUACUUUGAGGAAGGAAGGCGCAAGCCGUGCAGGGAGGAGUUCGCGGCCUAUCAGUUAGUUGGUGGGGUAACGGCCUACCAAGACUACGACGGGUAGCUGGUCUGAGAGGAUGGUCAGCCACAUUGGAACUGAGACACUGUCCAGACUCCUACGGGAGGCUGCAGUCGAGAAUCUUGGGCAAUGCACGAAAGUGUGACCCAGCGACGCCGCGUGAAGGAUGAAGGCCCUCUGGGUCGUAAACUUCUUUUAAGGGGGAAGAAUAAAUGACGGUACCCCUUGAAUAAGCCACGGCUAACUACGUGCCAGCAGCCGCGGUAAUACGUAGGUGGCAAGCGUUGUCCGGAUUUACUGGGCGUAAAGCGUAUGCAGGCGGACCGUUAAGUAGGAAGUGAAAGGUUGGAGCUCAACUCUAACACUGCUCCCUAUACUGGCGGUCUUGAGUGGCGGAGAGGAAGACUGAACGACACGUGUAGCGGUGAA